UAAGCUUGAUCGCCAGAAUAGAAUUGCAAAGUGGUUUCUAAUUAUAAAAUGAGAAACUUUACAUAAUAACAUAACCUAGACUGUAGAAUAUUCAAACACCACUUUAUUGAAGCUAACACAAGUUGAGACAUUUGCAUAAUUUCAUACACUUCGGUAUGCACUGUACACAGUGGAUUUAGAUUUUUACCACAGAUUUCUAUUUUCAUAUUUCAAAGUCAAAACCAUACUGUACACUGUACAAUUUUUAUUUUUAAAAAUUUAAAAUUUGCACAAAUUUUAUAUUUUAAUUUACUUUAAUAAUAUUUACAUACAACUAAAAAAAAAAAAAAAACAACCCUGAUUUAAAGUUAAGAUCGGAUGACAUAGGAUAUUAUUUAUCAGGAACAAAGGUGCUAGUCGGAGGAUUAGUGCUUCAAUCUUUGAUAACUUCGUAAUUUCAUUCGAAUAGGAAGAAAACAUGCCACUUAAACAAACUAAGUUGAGACUAGACGCAGAGCCAGGCUCAACAGCAGAUAUCAAGGGAAGGAUAAAAAUCAGAUCAGAUGCUAUUACAACUAAGACUCUUGAAGAUACAAAUGGCUGAGAAAGAUACCGAAGCUAAUAAAAACAAGAAAGCGGCAAGGCAAAUGGCAGCUACAUCAGAGAAGGCAGGGCAGAUUCCU